ensembl:rRNA 5S_rRNA 5S ribosomal RNA
GCUUACGGCCACACCACCCUGAGCGCCCCGAUCUCGUCUGAUCUCGGAAGCUAAGCAGGGUCGGGCCUGGUUAGUACUUGGAUGGGAGACCGCCUGGGAAUACCAGGUGCCGUAAGCU